UGGAAGCAUGACAUCACCUUGUUCACAACAUGAUCCUUCAUUGGCUAGGAUUGUGAGGUAAGGGAGGAAACAAAAUGGCACAGAGGAGGAAGAGGAGGAGGGGAGAAGUGUGUCGUUGCUCCAUAAGCCCACCUCCCAUUUUGCCCUUGACAAUACUAAGUUCUGCUUCUAACCAAUGCUUCUGUCUUGUCUAUUUGCAGCAGUGAAGCAAUCACAAUUCACCCUGUGUUUCCAUGCAUAGAUAACAUGACAAAAUACUCUUGUUGGUUUCACAGCAACAGCCAUCCCCCCCCCAACAAAAAAAAUAGAUGCUACGGUUUACAAGCAUCCAAGAAUAUCAGCAAUACACCACUUAUUUCAUUCUGUGAUUAGCCCAUAACACAAACCGGAGUCAUUCUUAAAUGGCCAUUUAAGAUGUGACAAUUCAAUAAGUACUUUUAGUUUGAGGGUUAGAAAUGCAAGUCCAAAAUCCCUUCACACGGCACACCAAGGUUUUCCUUUAGGAUGCUUAUCAAAACACAAUCUUACUAGUAUCCUGGAAGGGGUUGUAAUAUAUUUUACACAAAACAAUUUUUAAAAAAACAAACCAAAAAGAACCAGUAAUAAAAGUGGCUUGUCUAUUUUCUUCCUAGUAGAUAUGAAGCUUUUCUGUAAACAGGCAUUUUAAAACAGAGGGCUGAGAAAGCAGCAGUACAACAGUGCCAUCCCCUGUUUGCAAAAAUCAUUGUUUGUCUCGAUAAGCAAGGCAAAAGCCUCCAUAAAUUUUUGCUUGUCAUUUUCCCUUCCCUUCCCUUCUUGUUUGUAAAGCAGGCUUACUUCAACCUGCAAAUAGGAAGGAAUUUUCUGGUGUCUCUUUGGGCUGCUUCUUACAUUAUCUUAACUAAAAGAGUUGCCUUGGUAAGAGAUAAGUACACAAAAGCUGCAAGCCACAAAACAUACACCUCUCUUUCACUCUUGAAAACAAAAGCCUGUAUAAAUAAAACUGCUAAUAGAUUUUAUGCUUAUUUAGACCAUUUCUGUACCGGCUUAAUAUAGCAAAACUUUUGUAACACCAAAUGUUGCAAAAAAUAGACAACUGGCAUGGACUCAUAGCACUUCCUUCUGCUUCCUCCCCACUCAAGACCUCUCAACCCGGACUCCAACCAUGAACCCUGGCUCUCUCCCAGGACCCAAACAUACUCACCAAUCCUCUCCAAAAAAAAAUCUCACAAUGAAGAGAGCACUGAGAAACUGCUGAUACCACCCUGGUCUCUCCUUCUCUAGGUUUGUUUUCAUGAGAAGACAGCAAGGUUAAUGGAGCUGUGUCUCAGGCCCGG